GGUCCCUACAGAGUUAUUCAUCCCAAACUCUGUAGGGACCAGAAACUUCUCGGGUUAAAGGCUCCUCCAUCAAAGCGAGAAAAAUGAGAAAAAAUCAUCACUCACGCAAACCAUUUCAUAAUAUAUAUCAACGCAUUUGUGAUCAGUUUAUGCCCGGUAUCAUAAGACACUUUUGCUUCCCACAUCAGCUAUUUCAAAAGGCCAAAGAGGGGGUCAGUCGGGUUCUAAUGAGUGUUUCUUGAGGUUCACGGUGCGGAAGAAUGGUUAAACUACCACCAGGGUCAUAAAACUACUCCUGGAUAUACCCACAACUCCGAGGAAAGCCUUGUCAAAUAUAUGUUCUUGGGCGGCGAAAUGUCUUAUAAUGCGACCCUAUGUAUCAUCUAUUUUAGGGGGUUUAUGUCAUGGCAAAAAUUUGGCCCGUCGCUGCUACACGGUAAAGUCAUAAAAUUGGCCCGUCGCUGAUACCGGGUUAAUUGUAUUUUGACGCUCUGACCUCACACGGCACGGCUAGUCUAGUCUCGCAUUGGCUGGGCUCCUGCGUGAGGACUAAGCCUGUAUUGCACCCAGCAGCACAUACAUGGCAAGGCUUUCGGAGGAGUCUGGGGCAUUUCCAGAGGUAGUUUAAUGACCCUUCUGGUAAUGUGACUUCUGUACCAUGAACAGAAGAAAUGCACAUUUGAGAAGGCUUUCGGAUGAGUUUUGCGCAUUUCCAGGGGUAGUUUAAUGACCCUGGUGGUAGUGUGACCCUUCUUCUGUACCAUGAACCUGAUAAACACACAUUUGAGAAGGCUUUCGGAGGAGUUUGGGGCAUUUCCAGGGGUAGUUUAAUGACCCUGGUGGUAGUGUGACCAUUCUUCUGAACCAUGAACUUGCCAAAACAUUCAAUAAGACCUAACUGACCUCAUUUUUGGCCUUUGGAAAUAUCUGAUGUUAAGGAGUGAGGCAUCUAAGUAUACCUACCUUAGUAACCUUUCUUUAGCAGCUCUUAGGAUGAAGAUUCUGUACGUCAGUAAGGGAGGAAAAUACAUUCGUUGAAGGAGAUUUUAUACCUUAGGGAAGUGUCUGAAGGAGUGAGCUACUUAACCCAUUGUGGAGGUUAGCUUGAAGCGGUGGAGGACUUCCUCUCUCCUGUUGAGUGCCUCAUGGUGUGCCUGAGUGUGGGGUGUCCCGCAGGCAGGCAGACCGAGACGCCAGCCAUUCAAUUCUGCCGAGGGAAGGAAGUCGUGUUAGUCAACUCUGAUGACUUGUACUUUUCUACCUGUUCUGUAAGCCAGUCACAGAAGAUGUGAACUGUAUCUGUACUAUGAAGUCUUAUAAAUAAAGUUAAAGGCUACA